CCUACGGGAGGCAGCAGUGGGGAAUUUUUCGCAAUGGGCGCAAGCCUGACGAAGCAACGCCGCGUGGAGGAUGAAGGUCUUCGGAUUGUAAACUCCUGUCGACCGGGACGAAUGCACUCGACCUAAUACGUCGGAAUGUUGACGGUACCGGUGGAGGAAGCCACGGCUAACUCUGUGCCAGCAGCCGCGGUAAUACAGAGGUGGCAAGCGUUGUUCGGAAUUACUGGGCGUAAAGGGCGCGUAGGCGGCCUUGUAAGUCUCGUGUGAAAGCCCUCGGCUUAACUGAGGAUCUGCACGGGAUACUGCGAGGCUUGAGUUCGGGAGAGGAAAGCGGAAUUCCGGGUGUAGCGGUGAAAUGCGUAGAUAUCCGGAGGAACACCAGUGGCGAAGGCGGCUUUCUGGACCGACACUGACGCUGAGGCGCGAAGGCUAGGGGAGCAAACGGGAUUAGAUACCCCGGUAGUCCUAGCUGUAAACGAUGAUCGCUGGGUGUGGGGGGUUUUUACUCCCCCCGUGCCGAAGCUAACGCAUUAAGCGAUCCGCCUGGGGAGUACGGUCGCAAGGUUGAAACUCAAAGGAAUUGACGG
rnacentral:rRNA from 1 species